rnacentral:tRNA from 1 species
GAGGGAAUAGCUCAGUGGUGGAGUGUAUGCUUAGCAUGCACUAGGUCCUGGGUUCAAUCCACAGUAUCUCCA